GACUGGUAACCUUUUCCCUGCUUGUAUGUAUUUAGCCUAUGUAAAUGGUCAAAUGUGCAGCAUUAUGACCUUCAGAUGAAUUAUUCUGUAUUCUGUGUGAUCUUUGCCAUUUAAAGCUGCAAAUCUCAUCUCUGUUGUGGCUUUUAAAAUAGUUAUGUUCCUAGUCACCAUGGUGGCAGACAAAAUUUUGAAAAUUAGACACAACCAUUGUAUCAGCUUGUAGAGCAGAAGGAGACCUGAUGAACAGCCUUAAAUCCCAUUUGAAACAGCCUGAAAAAACCCACAAAAAACUAUAGCAAUGUAAUUUCCUCGUCUUAUUCUAACUCCACCAAGGAAGGACAAGGCAAGAGAUUUGUAUAUGGUCCCAAAGAAUGCAAGCAGAGAGCGUGCAAAUGAGUUGUGCAAAUGGCUAUUUUUGUUAUGAAUAAGGAAAGCUUUGAAAGUUACCAUGUUCACAGUGAUUGCCAAAAUCUCUGAUCCUUAAAUGGUCAAGGAAAGAGACAUUUUUGAUUCUGUAUUGUUAAGGAUGUAACCAAUGUGAUGUACUGCUUUGAGUGUUGGAUUAUGAUAAUGGAGGCCAGGAUUCGAUUCCCAGCUUGGCCAUCAAACCCACUAACUGUCCUUGGACAAGUCACACUAUCUCAGCCUCAGGGGAAGACAAUGGCAAACCUCCUCUGAACAAAUCUUACCUAGAAAACCCAUGUCUUAGGGUUGCCAUAAAUCAGAAACAACCUGAAGGCACACAGCAGCAACAACAACGUUGUUAAAGAUAUUUAAAUGAUUGCAUAUUGUUCAAGUAGGACAGCAUUGCUUCAAGUCAACAUUUUCAACACAUUAUAAAAAUAAAUUUAAACAUUGGUGUCAACUUUCAACUGAAUCGGUAAUAAGUGAGCAAAGAAUAAAAUACUUUUAACAACAGUUCUUUUUAAAGAACACCUGUUCUUUCCCUCCUGAGCUAAGUGCUAAUUCUGCCGAAAAAGACUGUGGAGGUGUGACGUUUAGCUAUCUGCCACCUUUAACUUCUGCUAUGUGGAUUGUGUGGUGCAUUUGCACCUCAGGUGUUUGUUUUUUCUUCUUCUUCACAAGAGCUAGAACAGACUUCACCUAAGUUGGUUUUUCUCUGCCCUCACAGACGGGGUCAUUAAGGGAAAACUGUGUUCUGAAAACUGCUGGCAGAACUCUUGCGUGGAUUGAGGUUCGCUCCAGGAAAGCAGCACUCCGAGUUCCAACCCGAGGGUUUAUGAUUAAUUUUGCAGGCAUUUAUUGUGCAAUGUCAAAUGGCUACUGGCCAGAGCAGGAGUUAAGCCAGGAGAUGACUAUCAAACAAAGCUGUUAUAUUUGGCGGCUAUUCCCAAAGCUGCUGUGCAAAACAGACAUACUGAAGUUAAUUUUUGGAUUUACUAGAUGCAUACUUUUAUCCUGGGGAUUUUCUUUCCCUCCCCUUCCUUCUCUUCUGAAGUGGAAAAACAUGUCCUGACUUGCAGAUUGUAUAUAGUUUUUUAAGGUCAAGAUUCAUACCAGGGACAGUUUCAUGUCUUCUUUAGAUGUUUAUUGGAGACAACGUCUUCCCACCCCCGCAGUCAGCCCUUCCUGGGUGACCUUAGAAGGAGUUGGUUGUAUGUUAUUUCACUUUCUAAAAAUGAAACUGCAUCAGUCAAGAACUUGACAGCCCCUGUCUAGCAAAAAAGUAGGGUAGAGGUGUGGAAGGAGUUGUAAGAAAUAAUAAUUAUCAAUUGCUUUUGGAAGUAUUCUCUGUCCAGGCUUUGCUUUGGCAGAAGGUCAGUCAAAAACUGUGUUUAGACACUACCUGCCAUGAAUGCUUCAACAAUCAAGCUUAAUGUGUAACCAAGGCUUGUGUUUCUUCUGUGUCAGCAGUUGGCAAGGGGAUACUGUAAAUAAGGAUCCCUGUGAGUAAAUAGAUAUAUGUGUGGGAAGGGGAGGGGGUGACUGGUGUAAGCACUUUUGAAAUUCAUGCCCAUGUUAUUUUAAGCGAUAAGAGUAUUUGAGUAACCUGCCAACUGUGCAGAUGGUCUCGAAAACAGGAAAAGAACCCUGCAAGGGCUUUAUUUUUUCUCGUUUUGUUUCAAAAAUCACCUUCUGAGGCAACACUAAGGACAUGGAAAAAAAGAGAAAGAAACUGACUGUGGUUAUGUGUUUCUGCUUCCUUACUGGUUUAGUGAUUCGGUGGUGCAAAGCAUCAUGGGACAAGCAUGUUGUUAACCACAAAACCCAACAUUUAACAAUGACAAAGUUCUGAAAUGGGCCCUAAUACUUUUGGAAGAGAUGAGAGAGCAAAUGUUUCUGUUUUCACCCCUGUUACCCAGGGCUUCAGCAAUUCUUUUGAUGUGUGAUUUCAAUGGAUUCAAGCAUAGAUUCAUGGAAAUUACAGUUCAUUUUUUUUUUUAAAAAAAACAACAAACCAAAUUGUUGCCCAGGGUUUGUAAAAAAUAUCUUUAAUAUAUACUCUCUGUUGUUAUUAUUAUUAUUAUUUUAAAAUGUGGAAACUUGCUAAGAAUUUUUUUGGAAGGUUCAAGCUGGACAUAGAUCAUGUUUUUAUAUAUAUAGCCUUUUUAAAAGAUGCAAACCCUGAAAGUCUGCCAGCUAGUGAGCCAUGUGGGAAGGAAUACAAAAUAAGCAUGUUCAGUUGACUCCAGAAGGUAGUAUGAGUUACUGAGACUUGCAGCUGUUUUCUGAAAGUCAGGACCAUCAUGGACCUAUUCAGUGAAAUUUUACUUUUCUUUUAAGUCUGAUGUUGCUUUGUGUUCCUGCUGGUUUUAAUAAAUGAUGUCAGCUGAAUAUAUUUUUAUGCAAUGCUGUUUAGAUCUUUUCCUUAAUAAACGAAACACUUGUUUACACCUCCGUUUAAUUAUAUUUUUUAUCCCAAACAUAUCUUGCUUUCCCCUUCAUCACUAAGAAAAAAAUUCUUCUCAUUCC